UACGGGGGGAGCAAGCGUUGUUCGGAUUUACUGGGCGUAAAGGGCGCGUAGGCGGCCACCGCAAGUCGGUUGUGAAAUCUCCGGGCUUAACCCGGAAAGGUCAAUCGAUACUGCGGGGCUAGAGUGCAGAAGGGGCAACUGGAAUUCUUGGUGUAGCGGUGAAAUGCGUAGAUAUCAAGAGGAACACCUGCGGCGAAGGCGGGUUGCUGGGCUGACACGUGACGCUGAAGCGCGAAAGCUAGGGGAGCGAACGGG
rnacentral:rRNA from 1 species